CUCCGCCGGCGACCGGCGCACGGGUGCGUAACGCGUAUGCAACCUACCUUUAACAGGGGCAUAACACUGAGAAAUUGGUACUAAUUCCCCAUAACAUUCGAGAAGGCAUCUUCUUGGGUUAAAAACUCCGGUGGUUAAAGAUGGGCAUGCGUUGUAUUAGCUAGUUGGUGAGGUAACGGCUCACCAAGGCGACGAUGGAUAGGGGUUCUGAGAGGAAGGUCCCCCACAUUGGAACUGAGACACGGUCCAA
rnacentral:rRNA from 1 species